GGUGUGACUUCCCCAGCCUCCAUUUCCAUAGACUAGGGAACCUUGCCUGGGGCGUUGAAAUAAACUGCCUGGCCCUUUGUUGCCUCUCUUUGCCUGCUUAUUUUGGCUAGAAUUUAUCUUACAUUUAGUGCCAAAAUCCCAGGAAGGAGCAUGAGCGUGGGGCCCCGACCGGCCACCAGUGGCCCCUCCCCCUCCUUCCCUGACCCAGGACCUCAGCCUGCUCUCUGCUGCAUGGACUAUUUUCUGGUGCAGGAACCUCAAGAUGUCUUAGAGACCUCAAGAAGAUAGGAAUUCACCCAAAUCUACAGGUACUGCAGGCAAAGCCUGAUG